rnacentral:lncRNA from 1 species
CUGCAGAUAGAUAGCUAACCCAUUCCCUCAAUAAAGACAUUAAUCCAUUCAUAAGGGCUCCACCCCCGUGACGCACACAUCUCCCACUAGGCUCCACCUCCCAACCCUGCUGCAUUGAGGAAAUAAGGUUCUGACACAUGAAUUUUGAGGGGAACAGUAAACCCAAAGCACCACUUUCUGAGCCCUAAUCCCUUUAAGGUGCACAGAGGCUGGGGGUCGGU